AUUGAACGCUGGCGGCAUGCCUUACACAUGCAAGUCGAACGGUAACAGGUCUUCGGAUGCUGACGAGUGGCGAACGGGUGAGUAAUACAUCGGAACGUGCCUAGUAGUGGGGGAUAACUACUCGAAAGAGUGGCUAAUACCGCAUGAGAUCUACGGAUGAAAGCAGGGGAUCGCAAGACCUUGUGCUACUAGAGCGGCCGAUGGCAGAUUAGGUAGUUGGUGGGAUAAAAGCUUACCAAGCCGACGGUCUGUAGCUGGUCUGAGAGGACGAUCAGCCACGCUGGGACUGAGACACGGCCCAGACUCCUACGGGAGGCAGCAGUGGGGAAUUUUGGACAAUGGGCGCAAGCCUGAUCCAGCAAUGCCGCGUGCAGGAUGAAGGCCUUCGGGUAGUAAACUGCUUUUGUACGGAACGAAAAGCCCCGGGUUAAUACCCUGGGGUCAUGACGGUACCGUAAGAAUAAGCACCGGCUAACUACGUGCCAGCCGCCGCGGUAA
rnacentral:rRNA from 1 species